GGGGCGCGUUGACGAAGCCCAGCUCCCAGAAGAGCCGGAGAGAGAGAGAGAGUUGGCUCCGUGCCAGUAGUUGAUGACAACGGACGCAAUGUUCCCUCCACUUAUAUAUAGAUAUGUGUUACAGAACAACGCCGAACACGGCUUCUGGCGGCUGGCUGGGGGGAUAAACAAGACGAGAGAGACACGGAACGGGUGGAAAGGGACCGUGCUGGGGAACGGAGGCGGCAUCCCAGAUGCGCACACCCUGUGAGUAAGGCGAAGCAGAUCGGCUUACCAGGGCUGCGGAAGACAAACAGCUCCAACUGUCAACAAAAGGCUUUGCACAACUACAACAAGGCAACAGCAUUUUGGAAGCGCAAAGAGUGGCAUGAGGAGAGGAGAGUUGUCCAACAGGUCUGCACACACACAGAGUCCGCUGCCAUCUUGGAUAAACAGGUGCUGCAAGUUUCCAAAGCCCCUGAGACCUGUUUGAACGGACACAACGGUGGGACCCCGGAACCACGUGAAUCAAGGAAACCAUGCCUCCUGAUUUUCAUUUUUGACUCAUAAAUAAACUGUCGCCUAGCAA